UACGAACUGUGCGAACGUUAUUCGGAAUCACUGGGCUUACAGGGUGCGUAGGCGGCUUGUUAAGUAGGGUGUGAAAGCCCCCCGGCUCAACCGGGGAAUUGCGCCCUAAACUGGCGAGCUAGAGUGAGAUAGGGGUGUGUGGAACUUCCGGUGGAGCGGUGAAAUGUGUUGAUAUCGGAAGGAACGCCGGUGGCGAAAGCGACACACUGGAUCUUGUCUGACGCUGAGGCACGAAAGCCAGGGGAGCGAACGGG
rnacentral:rRNA from 1 species